GAUGAACGCUGGCGGCGUGCCUAAUACAUGCAAGUCGAGCGAACAGAUGAGGAGCUUGCUCCUCUGACGUUAGCGGCAGACGGGUGAGUAACACGUGGAUAACCUACCUAUAAGACUGGGAUAACUUCGGGAAACCGGAGCUAAUACCGGAUAAUAUAUUGAACCGCAUGGUUCAAUAGUGAAAGACGGUUUUGCUGUCACUUAUAGAUGGAUCCGCGCCGCAUUAGCUAGUUGGUAAGGUAACGGCUUACCAAGGCAACGAUGCGUAGCCGACCUGAGAGGGUGAUCGGCCACACUGGAACUGAGACACGGUCCAGACUCCUACGGGAGGCAGCAGUAGGGAAUCUUCCGCAAUGGGCGAAAGCCUGACGGAGCAACGCCGCGUGAGUGAUGAAGGUCUUCGGAUCGUAAAACUCUGUUAUUAGGGAAGAACAAAUGUGUAAGUAACUAUGCACGUCUUGACGGUACCUAAGCAGAAAGCCACGGCUAACUACGU
rnacentral:rRNA from 1 species